rnacentral:rRNA from 1 species
CGCUAGCGGCAGGCCUAAUACAUGCAAGUCGGACGGGAUCCAUUGAUAGCUUGCUAUCCAUGGUGAGAGUGGCGCACGGGUGCGUAACGCGUGAGCAACCUGCCUCCAUCAGGGGGAUAGCCUCUCGAAAGAGAGAUUAACACCGCAUAAUAUCAACAGUUCGCAUGUUCAGUUGAUUAAAUAUUUAUAGGAUGGAGAUGGGCUCGCGUGACAUUAGCUAGUUGGUAGGGUAACGGCUUACCAAGGCGACGAUGUCUAGGGGCUCUGAGAGGAGAAUCCCCCACACUGGUACUGAGACACGGACCAGAAUCCUACGGGAGGCAGCAGUAAGGAAUAUUGGUCAAUGGGCGGAAGCCUGAACCAGCCAUGCCGCGUGCAGGAUGACUGCCCUAUGGGUUGUAAACUGCUUUUGUCCAGGAAUAAACCUAAAUACGAGUAUUUAGCUGAAUGUACUGGAAGAAUAAGGAUCGGCUAACUCCGUG